GCAGUCUGGUGCCAGCAGCCGCGGUAAUUCCAGCUCCAAUAGCGUAUAUUAAAGUUGUUGCAGUUAAAAAGCUCGUAGUUGAACCUUGGGCCUGGCUGGCCGGUCCGCCUCACCGCGGGUACUGGUCCGGCUGGGCCUUUCCUUCUGGGGAACCCCAUGGCCUUCACUGGCCGUGGCGGGGAACCAGGACUUUUACUGUGAAAAAAUUAGAGUGUUCAAAGCAGGCCUUUGCUCGAAUACAUUAGCAUGGAAUAAUAGAAUAGGACGUGCAGUUCUAUUUUGUUGGUUUCUAGGACCGCCGUAAUGAUUAAUAGGGAUAGUCGGGGGCGUCAGUAUUCAGCUGUCAGAGGUGAAAUUCUUGGAUUUGCUGAAGACUAACUACUGCGAAAGCAUUUGCCAA
rnacentral:rRNA from 1 species